CUUUUUUUUUUUUUUUUUUUUUUUUUUUUUUUUUGGUGAGGUGUCUGUUAGGGCCUUUAGCCCAUUUUUAAACCCAGUUGUUUUUUUAUUGUGGAGUUUUAAGAAUGCUUUUUCUAUUUUGAAUAGUAGACCUUUAUCAGAAGUGUCUUUUGCAGAUAUUCUCUCCUAGUUCGUGGCUUGUCUUCCCAUUUUCUUGAUAUUUGUCUUUUGCAGAACAGAAUUUUUAAAAUUUAAUAGAGUCAAGCUCAUAAAUUCUUUCUUUUAUACAUUUUGCCUUAAAUGGUGUUGUGUCUUAAAAUUUAUUGUCAUACCAAACCAAGCUUAUAUAGAUUUUCUCCUGUGUUAUCUUCUAGGAGUUUUAUACUUUGAUGAUUUACAUAUAGGCUUCUGAUCUAUUUUGAGUUAACUUUUGUAAAGGGUAUAAGGUUUGUGUCUAGUUUCUGUUUUUCUUUUUUUUGGCAUGUGAAUGUCCAGUUGGUCCAACACCAUUUAUUGAAGAGACUAUCUUUGUUCCAAUGUAUUUCCUUUGAUCUUUUGUCAAUGAUCAGUUGACUAUAUUUAUGUGAGUUUAUUUCUGGGUUCUCCAUUCUGUUCCAUGGAUAUAUUUGCAGCUCUUUUACAAAUUGCAUGCUGUCUUGAUUACUAUAAUUUUUUGGUAAGUCUUGAAAUCAGGUAGCUUCAGUAUUCCAACUUUGUUUUUCUCCUUCAAAACUCGGUUAGCUAUUCUGAGCAUUUUGCCUCUCAAUAUAAACUUCAUAAUUAGUUUUUUGAAAUCCACAAAAUACCUUUCUGCAGUUUUGAUAGGGAUUACAUUGACUCCAUAGAUCAAGUUGGAAAGAACUGACAUUGUGAAAAUAUUGUGUCUUCCUAUCCAUGAACAUGGAAUAUCUCUUCUUGUAUUUAGUUUUUCUUAAUCUUGUUCAUCAUAUUUUUGUAGUUUUCCUCACUUAGAUCUUGUACCUUCAGAAGAGGAUAUUACAUACCGGUCUCCAAAAUCCAAAGCCAAUUUCACUUAGACAAAUCUUGUGUUAACUAAACAAGCUAGAACCAACAUGAAGCCAUACUGGAUGAGGGAUGUAAUUAUUGUGCCCAAAUAACUAUUCCAUCCACUGCUUCUUUCUUAGUCCUCAGACAUUAAUACAAUAAAAAUAACCUAAGGAGAAAUAUAAUUUGAGGCAAUUUAUUAAGCACAAUCUAUUAAUGCUUGGCACUAUAGAGUCAUGACUAUUUUGAGGUAAGCCUUACCAAAAAAUAAUUUUAGUCAACCUAAGCCAAGUCCACAGAAGCAAAAGCUAGUCUUGUCAGGAUCUAAUACGAUGGGGAAUUAUACACAAGUCAAUAGGAAUUUUUUUUUUGUCUUCAUGUGACAUUUAAUAGCUAAAAGGCAACCACUAAGUUGCAAAGAGCAUCAUCAAGUUGUAGACCCUAUAUCACAUAGUUUGUUAAAUAUCAGUACAUGGAGGCUUAGGGGUCAAUAUGUUCACUGAGGUCAUUCUGAGAUUCUUAAGUACUGCCAGUGGUUCAUAAGGGCUGGCCCCAUUUCUGACAUUUCUAAUUUUUGCAUAGACUUUUGGUUUAGUAAGGAUUUUAGGAAGCUAUUAAAUGAUAUUUCUCUUUUUUUCCAGAGUUCAGAAUCAAUUGAGCAAGAAGGCAUAGCAAUUAAGCAGAUGUAAAUGAAAUGACUAGAUUUACUACUGAUAAAAAAAAUAGACUGGAAAAUGCGACAUUAAAUCAGUAAAACACACUCCGCAGAAUUAAGUAUACUCCUAACCCAGUAAUCUUUUACAUUAGAGAAUUUGCAUUUUCUCUAAGUCUAAUAUUACUAAACUUAAAACAUGGAGGAGCAGAGGAUACAUUUGUUCAGUUAAUAUUGUGGCUCCUCAGAAAGAGUAUCCAGAAUAAAGCCCAACAUGCUUAAUUAUUUCUCAUGGAAUAUAAACUUUGUGGAAUAAACAGGAACAAAAGGAGAAAAGAGUUGAUUCAUUUUGCUGUAUCUUCCAAUGAGCUCAUUCGAGAAUUCUUGACUGAGAUAUUUGCAGCUCUCCAGGUUUCAACCCAACCCAAGACCUCAGUAAUCUAUUUUCCCCAAAAUUUGGCAAUAUCCAAUAAACAUUUUUAUGUUACCUAGAGUUGACUGAAUAACUUGCAAGAAAAUAAGUCUAUCCAUAUGUUUUGUAUGUUUGCUUAUUUAUAUUUUGUUUGUGUUUAUCUCUAGACCACCUUGGAAAAUCUUUAGUGAAUAUUGUGAAUUAAAGCUCCAAUUCCUAUUUUUCAAGCAGCUAAACCCUUUUCUCAGUACUACUACUACUUCAAUAUUUCUUUAUUCCAUAGUCUUUCUCCUUAUGUUAUAAAAUACUUUAAAGGAAUAGAGUAUUUUUAACUAUCUUUAGAAUUUGGUAUUAUGAUGUCAUACUCCUCAAAACCUGAAGUUGUGGAAAUUAGUUAGGUUUCUGAAAAUCAAACAGAAACUAUACUAUCAUAAUGAAUCUGACUGUAGGGAGGGCCAUGAAAAUGGAAAGACAUUGGAGGAGACAAGAUUUUCUCAGAUGAAGAUUUUUCUCAGAUCAGAAUGUAUGUAAUCUUUUUAAUGUAUUAAGUACAUCUAAAUAAAAAUUGUGAUUCAGAAGGAGUCUUUCUUAGUCACAGAAUCUAGAAAAAUCACUCUGAAUCUUACAUAAGCAAUUUCUAUCCAAAUAUUGUUCAGAAAUUAGGAAACUUUGGUCGCUGAAUUAAACACACCUCUGCUUCUGACAGUGAGGAUGUCUUUUUGCUGGAGAGUAAAAAACAAAAAUGUGGCUAACAGAGUUGAGGCAAAAACUCUUGAAUAUGUCUAAUCUCUUGCAAGAACAAACCAAUAAUGAGAUAUUCCAAAUUCAGUUGACCAAGUUGACACCAUUCUUUCCCUGCUCAUCAAUAUAAAUUCUGAAUUGAAUGUGCCCCUAGUUGGUCUACUUAAAAGUAUAACACAUUAUGACCAUAUGUAAUUUACUUCAGGAAUGUAAAAUUACUAAAACACUAGAUAAUCAAAUAACACAAUUAACCUAAUAAUUGUAUAAUAACCUCAAUAAACGAAGACAAAACUAAGGAAGAGAAGUAGAGAAGUCAAAUCUCAGAAAAUAGUAGUCCUACCUAAUUUUUCAUAUUUUCAUGAUCAACCAAGAGCUCCAGAGCCAAAAAGCCAGAAAAUCUAUUCUUACCCAUUCUUCUCUAUUAAAAUUGAAGAAAUUUAUUAACUUAUUUUUUAUUUUUAUGUUUUGUGGAAGUAUAGUUGAUUUACAAUGUUAUGUUAGCUUCUGAAAUACAGCAAAGUGGCUCAGUUAUACAUAUGUACAUUUUUUUCAUUUUCUUUUCUAUUACAGUUUAUUACAGGAUACUGAGUAUAGUUCCUUGUGUUAUACAGUAGGACCUUAUUGUUUCUUUUAUAUAUAGUAGUCUGUAUCUGUUAACCCCAAACUCCUAACUUAUUCCUCUUCCACCCCUUUUCUCCUUUGGUUCUCUAUGUCUGUGACUCUGUUUCUGUUUUGUAAAUAAGUUCAUUUGUAACAUAUUUAAGAUUCCUCAUGUAAGUGAUAUCAUAUGAUAUUUGUCUUUAUAUUUCUGACGUACUUCACUUAGUAUAGUUUAAAAGUAUGUUCAAAUAACUGUUGUCAUGUUUAGGAAAACUAUACAGGAGCUGAACUAGAGAACUUGCUGGCCAGCAUAACGAUGUUUUCAGUAGACACAGUAAUCUACUGACUGCCUUGAGCAUAUACCAUGAAUUUCUAGAUCUAUUAUUAUAAUGAAAAAUUAAAAGACUGUGGAGGACAAUGCUAACAUUUUCUAUUACUGUCCUUAAUAUAUACAUAUUUUUCAUCUUAAAAGAUCCCAGUAUACACGUUCAGAUAUGCUGAGGUAUCUGAAUUAAAAUAAUCCAUAUUAAUAGUACCUAGAGUUACACUUUAUUUUUACCCUUGGAAACAUGGCCAAUUGUUUUAACAUGUUUUGACAGUAACUAUGCAGUUUUUUGUGACCUUAAAUACCUUUCUUACAGGCUGUUCAUUUUACUUAUCUUCUACUAGAAUAUCUAAAUUCAGCAUUUAAAGAGCAUUUCAGUUAAUGAAAGAGCUGAGAGGUAUUUUGAAAACCACUAUCAUUCUAUUCCCCAAAUUUCUCUAACUGGGCUCGCUGGAUAACCUUUUUCUGCACAGUAAUCAUGAAAUCUCAGAAGGAUAUAACACUCAUAUCUUUGAGUUGAUUGAAGCUUCACUGAUUCAGUUCUGCUAAACACUGUGGUAGGUAUCCUGUUUCUGCUUAUCCACUGUCAGUAGGUUAGCAGAGCAACUAACUCAGCUUCCUGCAUCUAAUAUGACCAACAGGCUAACUGGACAUGCUCUCACAACAAGGGCAGAAGCAGGAAAGCUCAAGGGAAACCAAACAUGUCUCUUAAGGCCUAUGCUCCUAUGCUCAUAAGUAUCAUAUUUUUGCAUCUACCCAUACUCUCUUGGCCAAAGCAAUUCAUGUGGCCAAUGGGCAGAUAAGUGCUCUCUGUCCACAGUGAGGUCAGUGUAGAUGCAGGGAGGCACGAGAAAUGGGACCAAAUAAUUUAUUCCAGGAAAAUGAAAAAGUCUCUCUCUCAAUAGCACAGGGAGUACAGUGACUAGAGUAUUAUGUUUUUCUAAAUGUUCUUUUUAAAAUGCAUGCCUCUACAAAUGCUUCAAGGAGAGGAGAGGUAUUGCUAAAAGAGCACAAUCUCAGUCAGCACAUAACACUAUGUAGUAUACUUUGUGCUCCAUUUAUUUAAAGUUCCUGCCCUUAAAUGUCUAGGUUCAAGUCCUAACUCUGCUAACUAGUUACCUCUAUGAUUUAGAACAAAGGUGCUGAAAGUUUAUGUGCAUCAGAGUCAUCUGAUGGGUUUAAGACACAGAUUGCUGGGCUUUCUUUCCAAUUGUGAUUUCUGGUUCAGUAGGUUUGAGAUGGGGCUUAUACUGAUGGACCAGGUACCACACUUUGAGAAAUAAUGAUUUAAGAAAUCUGAAAAUGGAUCUCACUAAUAACUAUGACAGUUGGUUUCUGUUUUAAGAGGCCCCAGGAUAACUUUCUCUUUAUUUUCAUAGCUUUCAAUUUUGAAAGUUAAUAGCUUCCAUAAGCCUGUUCUACAUGCUUCAUCUUCUAUUCACAGACAUCAAUAAAUCUGAGAGGAUUUUGUACUUCAGCUGACUUUUGGUGAUUUACAAUCAUUGGAUUUCAAGCUUUUGUGAAUAUCUAAUAAACUUGUUUGCCUCAUCAGCUGGGAAAAUUUAAGAGAAAGAAACUGCCUUCAUAUUAAUUAAAAAUGUCUAGUAUUUAAAGCCAUCAAUCUAAAUGUGAUACAAUUCAGCAAAUAAGUACUGAAUUUUCACUCUAAGAUCCUCAGAUAAAUGUUCUUGGAAAAACAGGGAAGAUUAAGAAAAGGGCUCUACUAAUAUUUAUAUUUAUUAGUGAAUUGCCUAAAGUAGCAGAAUUGACUACCAUAAGCUACUGAAGAUACAAAAGCCAAAGAAAAUUAUUCUUAUCUUGAGGUGCAGUUGUGGGAUGGCAGAAGAUGAGCUGCUAAAAAUGAUCAUUUUCUAAAUGGAGGGUAGAAAUGCACAAUGAAUAAAUAGUAAGGAAUGGAUAGUGAGAGAGUGAUAAGAACUGCUUCACAUCUCGUUACUGUUGCUCAGAAAAACAACAACUACAACUGAACUCAAGUUUACAUAGGGCCCAGCUCCUCUCUGAAUUAAUAGUAUCUUUAAAAAAUAUUUUCCAUCAGGAUGUUUUAAUGUUUGCAUAACAUAACUAAAUCUAAUAUUCAGGGACUAGAAGAGAAACAAAUAUUAUCUAUUGUAUAAGUGGAUCUAUCAGGUCAUUGAAAAAAUGUUCUCAAGGUCACAGAUCAAUUCAGCAAGAGAGAUGGGACUAAAAUAAUUGAUUUGUAACUUUCUCUCAUUCCUAGACUCAUAGGCUGAGCUAAACUUGUCAUCAUUGUCCUUUAAUGAAAAAUUAAAUUGAUUUAAAAUAUUAAUGCAAAAGAUGUAUUAAUCAAUCAUGCUAAUGAAUAUAAACUGCAUAGAAACUGAAUAGAAAGGGUCCUUUUUUUUUUUUUGCUGUAGCAUUGUUAUUCAUAAAAGUAAUCACGGAGUUCCCAUUGUGGUGCAGUGGAAACGAAUCCGACUAGGAACCAUGAGGUUGCGGGUUUGAUCCCUGGCCUUGCUCAGUGGGUUAAGGAUCCGGCAUUGCCACGACCUAUGGUGUAGAUUGCAGAUGCGGCUAGGAUCUGGCGUUGCUGUGGCAUAGGCUGGCGGCAACAGCUCUGAUUACACCCCUAGCCUGGGAACC
rnacentral:lncRNA from 1 species